GCAUCGAUGAAGAACGCAGCGAAAUGCGAUAAGUAAUGUGAAUUGCAGAAUUCAGUGAAUCAUCGAAUCUUUGAACGCACCUUGCGCUCCUUGGUAUUCCGAGGAGCAUGCCUGUUUGAGUGUCGUUUAAUUCUCAACCUAUAAAUCCUUGUGGUUUUUAGGCUUGGACUUGGAGGCUUUUGCUGGCUUUACCGUCGGCUCCUCUUAAACGCAUUAGCUUGAUUCCUUGCGGAUCGGCUCUCAGUGUGAUAAUUAUCUGCGCUGUGACCGUGAAGCGUUUGGCGAGCUUCUAACCGUCUCUUCGAGACAAACACUUUGACAUCUGACCUCAAAUCAGGUAGGACUACCCGCUGAACUUAAGCAUAUCAAUAAGCGGAGG
rnacentral:rRNA from 1 species